rnacentral:rRNA from 1 species
UACGGGGGGGGUAAGCGUUGUUCGGAAUUACUGGGCGUAAAGGGCUCGUAGGCGGCCAACUAAGUCAUACGUGAAAUCCCUCAGCUUAACUGGGGAACUGCGUGUGAUACUGGAUGGCUUGGAUUUGGGAGAGGGAUGCGGAAUUCCAGGUGUAGCGGUGAAAUGCGUAGAUAUCUGGAGGAACACCGGUGGCGAAGGCGGCUCACUGGACCGGUUCUGACGCUGAGGCGCGAAAGCGUGGGGAGCAAACGGG